AGCGAACGCUGGCGGCAGGCUUAACACAUGCAAGUCGAACGGGCACUUCGGUGCUAGUGGCAGACGGGUGAGUAACACGUGGGAACGUACCUUUCGGUUCGGAAUAAUCCAGGGAAACUUGGACUAAUACCGGAUACGCCCUUCGGGGGAAAGAUUUAUCGCCGAUAGAUCGGCCCGCGUCUGAUUAGCUAGUUGGUGAGGUAAUGGCUCACCAAGGCGACGAUCAGUAGCUGGUCUGAGAGGAUGAUCAGCCACAUUGGGACUGAGACACGGCCCAAACUCCUACGGGAGGCAGCAGUGGGGAAUAUUGGACAAUGGGCGCAAGCCUGAUCCAGCCAUGCCGCGUGAGUGAUGAAGGCCUUAGGGUUGUAAAGCUCUUUUGUCCGGGAAGAUAAUGACUGUACCGGAAGAAUAAGCCCCGGCUAACUUCGUGCCAGCCGCCGCGGUAAUAC
rnacentral:rRNA from 1 species